rnacentral:rRNA from 1 species
UACAGAGGUUUCAAGCGUUGUUCGGAUUCAUUGGGCGUAAAGGGUGCGUAGGCGGCAGGCCAAGUCGGGAGUGAAAGCCCGGGGCUCAACCCCGGAAUGUCUUUCGAAACUGGCCAGCUGGAGUGCGGAAGAGGCAACUGGAAUUCCCAGUGUAGCGGUGAAAUGCGUAGAUAUGUGGAGGAACACCGAUGGCGAAGGCAGCCCCCUGGGUCAAGACUGACGCUCAUGCACGAAAGCGUGGGGAGCAAACAGG